rnacentral:lncRNA from 1 species
CAGAGGUUUUGUGGUACAAAGAAUGAGGUACAAAAUAGAUUAAACUGAGCCUAAAUAUAAGAAGAUGUGGGCAGCCCUGUUGUUUCUCCCACCGACUUUGGCAAAACAUCAUGGAGUUGCGCAUCUCUAUCAUCACCUAUCAGCAUACCUUGAAAGGAGGCUGGAAUUUGGGACAAGGAAAUGACAAAAAUGAAUUCUCUCAGGGCUCUUUGUAAAUUGACAUUUGUGAUUAUAUGGUAGGUGUACCAGACUGGAGAUGGGGGUUUUCUCUACCAUUCAAGAAAAAUGGUCCAUCAAGAGCAAAGGAAUAGAUCAAAAAUACUCUGCUGGUCCAUGGUACAAAGACAAAAUCCUGAGUUAUGCAUUCAAGGGCUCUUCUGCACAACCUUGAGCCACUUACCAGUGAAGGUGCUUUGCUUAAACAGAAAAACACAACAAAUUCUCCUAAGGAGGCGGACUCUCCACUGUGUACACGCCUGUGUGAUGACUGGCAGACAGAAAAGUCUCCGGCUGAUGAACCGCAAGGGAUCUUAAAGACCAGUUAAGGCAAGAUCAAUACCUUCAUUUUACAAAUAAGACAACCCAAGUUUUGAGAAGUGAAGCGACUUUACACAGCAUGAUGCGACCAGUUAGUAGUAGAGCUUAAAUCCUAAAUUUGCUACCCAUGACACAACAAUCUAAUGUUGUGGCCUCAGAAAAUGAUUUGUUGUUGUUUUGCCUUAUUUUAAGAUUCCUUUUUAUCGGCUAGAAGUGAAAUGAUCAAGUCAGAACAGGAAAAAGUAAAUGUACCAUUCUUAAAUUUUCCAGACUUCAAGCUGAAGGACUCUGGAAUCAGCAGCAUUUAACAAAACAUCAUUAAUAAUCCUUCUAUCUACUUUAUUUUGCAAUGCACAUUUAUGCCUUGUCACUUGGUUGGAAGGAAUUGGGAAGAAGACCCAGAUGGAUAUCUGCCUGCCUUGGCAGCUGUCAGUCAACGGUGGCUAGUGAACCCAGUCUACCUGACCUAGAGGGAUUUAUUUGUUGAAACACACAAAUAAACACUGUUUUUCUACAAUUUAAGAUGGACUUGCCCUGAAAUGGCUGGCCUUCUUUUGAUAAAUAUUUUUUAGAAAUAGGUAGAAAAUAUAUUCCUUUUAGUUCUCUCUUAAAAAUCUAUGGUGGAAAUAAGUGAAAAGUAAAGUCUUGAUUUUUCCUUUAGUUCUACCUCCUUUUCUUUU